AAGGCAUGAUAUAAAGUUGAGCUGCUGUUUAUCUUGUUCCUACUACACUAAGUUCUAGAGAUUUAUUUUGAAAACUUACAAAUCACAUGAUGAGUUCCUAGCAUAACAAAACUACCUACCACAGCCAUACUUGCUAUAACAUCUUCUACUAUAUUUACAUUGAGUUUGAUCGAGCUGUGUAGACCCUUAGGAGCUUUUCAUGUGGUUGAAUUAAGAUAUUCACUUGCACACAUCUACCACAGCAUUCAUCAUCAAUCAUUAAAAUUGCUAUAAAAUAUUAUCACUCACUGUCCCAAGUAUUGUUAUUCUCUCUCUCUAAAAAGAUUCAAUGCAGAAGAGGCAUGGGUUAUGCAAAAAAAAAUAAUAUAUGCGAGGAAAUAAAAAGGGGCAAGUGCCUGGAACCUCGGAAAAGAAAGAAAAAGAGUGAGACGAGAGGUAAAAAUGGACAAGUGUCCGGAGUAGAAUUAGGGGUACAAAGAUGCCCACUUGAGCGGAAAAAAUGGACAAGUGUCCGACAGUAGAAUUAGGGGUAUCUACUACCCACCUGAAAAAAGAGAGAGAAAAAGAUAGCCCAUGUUCUCCCAAAGCAAAGAUCAAAGAAGAGAAGAGAUAGAAAUAUAAGGAGCAAUGAGAAGUAAGUUUUAUUAUCACUUAUGCAUUUUCACCAUCACAAUCAUUUACUCCAUCACA
rnacentral:lncRNA from 1 species